UAGCCUGAAGUGAUGAGCUUGGUUCAUGUCUCUUCUCUGAGAAUUAUGCUGGAGAUACUCCAUAGACUCUGAUCAGGCAC
rnacentral:snoRNA from 3 species